GUUCUUUAUGAUAAGAUUUGUCGAGGAUUUACUGUUUGAUAUAGAAAAAGUAACAUGUAUCGUUUGUUUGCCUUUUACUUUGUAUUUACCGCGCAUGUCAGUAUCGUCCUUAGCAAUAACGCUUAUUGUUUCUUUUUUCUACUACUAUUAGUAUUUUGGAAUUCAAAUUUUUAGUGCCUUGCUUUAUAAUUAGAAAAUUUUAACUCAUGGCAUCAGUCUGCC
rnacentral:lncRNA from 1 species